AUGGAGCCUUCAGAUGUACAGGCAAAUGUCUUCACAUCAAACGGCAAGGUUUCUACAUCCAACAACAGCACCGGCUACUCAAUGAGAGCUUACAUUACGUUUCUGGCUGGAAAUGGCGAUUAUGUAAAGGGAGUGGUUGGAUUGGCAAAGUCCUUGCGCAAGGUGAAGAGUUCCUAUCCUCUAGUGGUCGUAAUCUUGCCGGAUGUGCCUGAAGAACACCGCGAAAUCUUGAGGUCUCAGGGCUGCAUCGUUCGAGAGAUCGAGCCAGUCUACCCACCUGAUAACCAGAGUCAGUUUGCAAUGCCUUACUAUGUGAUCAACUAUUCCAAGCUUCGUAUAUGGAAUUUGGAGGAGUACAGCAAGAUGUUGUAUCUGGACGCAGACAUCCUAGUGUUGGACAACAUCGAUCAUCUACUGGACAUGGCUGACGGGUACUUAUACGCUGUCAUGGACUGCUUCUGCGAGAAGACAUGGAGCCACACGCCUCAGUACGCCGCCGGGUACUGCCAGCAGUGCCCAGAGAAGGCGGCGUGGCAGGCUGAGAUGGGCUCCCCUCCUGCCUUAUACUUCAAUGCAGGAAUGUUUGUAUUUGAGCCUAGCAACCUGACUUACGAAAGCCUUCUUGAGACUCUCAAAGUAACCCCUCCAACACCAUUUGCGGAACAAGAUUUCUUGAACAUGUUCUUCCAACACAUGUACAAACCGAUUCCUCUUGUCUACAACCUGGUUCUGGCAAUGCUAUGGCGCCACCCGGAGAACGUGGAACUCCAUAAAGUUAAAGUGGUUCACUAUUGUGCUGCUGGAUCAAAGCCAUGGAGGUACACCGGGAAAGAAGCUAACAUGGACAGGGAAGACAUCAAGAAGUUGGUUGCAAAAUGGUGGGAUAUCUAUAACGAUGAGUCACUUGAUUUCAAGGCAGAAAAUGAUCAUGCUGGGGGAGAUCAGACCUUCUCAAAGCCCUCUUCAAUUAUGGCUUCCAUGCCUGAACCUCCCAUUUCCUAUAUCCCAGCACCUUCUGCUGCUUAAAAAAAAAAAGAGCAAAGCUUCUACAGGGUGUUCAGAGCUUCGCGACACCAGCACCUAUUCUAUCUACUACAUAAUUUUUAAGGCUUCUCAUUCUUUUCGGAAUGAGGCACCUUAAAAUACAUCUAAACAAUAUAGGAGUUACUGCAAAACCUAUUCACCCAUGGGGCAGAGAAAAAUCAUCACUGAAGUGACAGAUUGGUUUCACAUGAUGUAGGUAAAAAGGGCAUCCAUGGUUGUUGGUGAGUUCAUAUCCAAAGUAUUUAUUCAUUUCUUGACCUCUUUAUAUGCUCUGUGUAAUAGCCGGGGAGCCCAUAAAUAUUAAGUAAAUUAACAAAAUUAAAAAUUUAAUCUCUUGCCCAGAACGAAAGAGAGGUAAUAUUGAGAAUAUCUAACAGACCAGCCUCAGUAAUGGUGUAGAACAGAUCAAAGCCGAAAUAUUGUGAAGUGCACCAUGCUUUUGCCAAUUACCAAGGCAUUAGAAAAGGAAGACUGAAUCAUACCUCAUGGCCCUGUUGUUCCAUAGAGCUUAGCUAGUUCGUCUGCUCCAAUUGAUCUUCCCAGGAAACUCAUGAUUAGGGCUGCACAGGCAGGGCUUCGGAGGAAUCUAGAGAAAAGAUCAGCUGCCAAAGAAUACAUCCUGGGAUAUUCAAUCAUAAUAGCUAAACAGUACAAGCACAUGUUACGUGCCAGACAUAGACCAGAGAGAUAAUGUGGUCGCAAAAAUUUGCAUAUAAUGGAUAUCUAAAAGCUGGAGCAGUGGUAACAGACACAUUAUAAAAAAACCACAUCAAAAUUCUGUUUCUCAAUUAUCUUCUGUAUCAUGUAGCAUCCACAGGUUACAAUUGCAUACAAUUUUCUAAAAGUGUAAAAGGAAAAAAGUACAGUUUAUACAGAGUUUGAUAGAUGGCAUGAUUGCAGAGAUUGUUCUACAAAGAACUAAAAGCUUCCUCACCUCCUUCGUAUUCCUCAUCCAUGGCUUGUGGUUCUUGGAAGUAGUCAUCUUCAAAAAGAGAGGACGAGGCAUGUCUGCAUUUUUUAGGCUUUCUAUCAUUCAUCUCAAUGGCUGA